AGGGGUGUAGCUCAGUUGGUAGAGCACUCGUCUCCAAAACGAGCGGUCGCAGGUUCGAGCCCUGCCACCCCUG
rnacentral:tRNA from 1 species